GAACGCGAAGAACUUUACCAGGUCUUGACAUCCUUUGACAAUCCUAGAGAUAGGACUUUCCCUUCGGGGACAAAGUGACAGGUGGUGCAUGGUUGUCGUCAGCUCGUGUCGUGAGAUGUUGGGUUAAGUCCCGCAACGAGCGCAACCCCUGUGGUUAGUUGCCAUCAUUUGGUUGGGCACUCUAAGCAGACUGCCGUGGAUAACACGGAGGAAGGUGGGGACGACGUCAAAUCAUCAUGCCCCUUAUGACCUGGGCUACACACGUGCUACAAUGGUCUGAACAGAGGGCUGCGAAACCGCGAGGUGAAGCUAAUCCCUUAAAACAGAUCUCAGUUCGGAUUGCAGGCUGCAACUCGCCUGCAUGAAGUUGGAGUUGCUAGUAAUCGCAGAUCAGAAUGCUGCGGUGAAUGCGUUCCCGGGUCUUGUACACACCG
rnacentral:rRNA from 1 species